rnacentral:lncRNA from 1 species
CAUAUGGAGGUUCCCAGACUAGGGGUUGAAUCUGAGCUGCAGCUGCCAGCCUACACCACAGCCACAGCAAUGCGGGAUCCAAGCCGCAUCUGUGACCUACACCACAGUUCACAGCAAUGCCAGAUCCAUAACCCACUGAUCGAGGCCAGGGAUGGAACCCGCUUCCUCACGGAUAUUAGUGGGAUUCGUUUCCACUGUGCCACAACAGGAACACUUAACUUUAACCAUUUAACCAGCAAGCUAUUUCUUUUGUUGGUUCUUGUGGGCAUAUAAAUAAGCCUUUUUUUCUGUUCAUCUUUUCUCAAUUUAAUUCACAGGCUCCAGUCACUGCACCUAACAGGGGAAAGGGAAACGUUUAUCUUGCCCCCAAAAGUAUCACAUCAGGGCAAAACAUUCUGGAAUUCCUGGACUGUGUUGAUUUGGAAAUGGGCAGGGGGAUGGAAUUGGAAGGACAUCCGGGACGUACUAUCAUGACAGAUUCAGACCCACCUAUAAAACUGGGGGCAGUCCCAUUCUCAGAGACAAAUUUGAGAAGAGCCCAGGAUCCUGUUCUCCUGGUAAUGCAGCUGUUCACCCCUCCUUUUUAAUUCCUUUCCUUUUUCCUUGGUAGAUGAUACUGAUCCAAAAGUUGGACACUAAAACGUUCAAAAUUUGAACUCUGCACGUGUUUUCCCCUUAGGUACUUAUUCUCCAGAUGUGUGUGCUGCAGCAUGAAUACCCUAUGCUCAAUUUCAAAAUAAAAGUAAUUUCACCCUUUUCCCCUCUCCUUCCCACACAGAGAUUUUUCUGGUAUUUAAAGUGCAGCUAACAACUUUUCCCUCUCUUGGAAUUUUCAGUGGCAUCUGCAUGAAAAUUAAGAAAUACUUUGGGAAAGUAAUUUAAUUUUGCAAAUGCAAAGCUAAUCUCCGCUCAUCAUCAAGGCAAUAAAACAUAAGAGAUGUCUAUAUGGGGAAAUCUCAAUUUUAAAAACCUUACAGAAGUGAAUUACAAUGAAGUAAACAAUUUUAGGAGACUUGAAGGAGCAGCCCAACCACGGGUUCAUCCAGCCUGGAAUUCCGAGGCCCCGGUCCAGCUCACCAGGCUACUGGCGGGACGGUGGCAACUUUUUCUGCUUUGUUCCCCUUCCAAGAUUUCUGGCUUCUGGCGGAAGACAGAAAGCUUCACGUUGAGAAAAAUCAAACCGGAACAAGAGAGAACACUUAUGUGUGGCGUUUACACACUUUCAUCCUUCAGAAGAUGGUUCCAUUCCCAACCUUUUUUAAAGAACUCCGCACCAUCUGGCUUUCACAAGCAGAGCUUCAUCCACUCCCACUUGCUUCAAUGAGGAAAAACCCUGCUCUCCCAGGGUUUAGCAAACGGACUGACUUUGGAGUGCAGAUAGAGCUGAAGCAGAUUUUCUGCAUUAUUUGGCAACGUUUCUUUGCAAAAUUAAUUUCACAGAUGCAUAGUCCCCUAUGUGGACUGUAAGUAUUUGGGAAGAAUUUUUUUUUCUCUUUUCUAUCCUAGUACUAAGAAUCUCAACAGCACCCUAGUAUUAACAGGUUAAGACUCAGUAGUCAAACAAGAAAAAUGAUGAGCCUUAGUGGUGCUUAUCAGACCCAUUAGGUUGAUUUUUAUCUACUAAGAAUCACUUCCCUGGAGUUCCCAUUGUGGCACAGGGGUAAGGAACCCGAUUAGCAGCCAUGAGGACUCGGGCUGGAUCCCCAUCCCUGGCCUUGCUCAGUGGGUUAAGGAUCCAGUGUUGUUGUGGGCUGCAGCUGUGAGCUAUGGUGUAGUUCUCAGAUGCAGCUCGCACUUGGCGGUUGCUGUGGCUGUGGCGUAGGCCAGCAGCUGUAGCUCCAAUUCAGCCUCUAGCCUGGGAGCUUCCAUGUACCACAUGUGCAGCCCUAAAAAGCAAAAAAAAAAAAAGAAUCUCUUCACAGAUUCACUGACAAUCUCACUAUUGCAAUAGCUUUUUAAACUAUUUCUUUUUAUUCAAUAAAUAAAUGGUGCAAGAGACAUUUUUAAUGAGUUAGCUUUAGAGCUAAGGGGUGAAAAGCAUAUUCUUAUACUUCUGGCACUUUAUUUUCAUUAAUAAUCAGUUGAAAUGAUACUUUGAAAAAAGACUCUUGUCUCCUCUUCAGGGUGUCCAUGGUGGUUCAAAACCAUACUCAACAUGCAACCCUCCCAAUAAUACUUUUCUAACCCUGUCGUGAAUGGGAGAUUAAACUUGCCAUCUGCCUCUGCCAGGACUGCAUCAUGAGCCACUGAAGCUGCCAACCUGCCACACCCCUGAAGGGAGGCACUCUGUGCUCUGGGAAAACUGGCAGAACAGGUCUUCUGAUAGUUAGAUAUUUUCAGGAGAAGUUUUUAUGAGCCCAAUUCUUGCAUCUCCUUGUAUCUAGGAAAGUACUAAAAUCCUUCAUGGUGAUGUCUUCUCAUGACCAGCAGGAACCUUCACGAGACCAGCAGCGACCUUCUGCAAAAUGUGUGCUUGAUUGGAACCUUCACAAGAUCAGCAGCGACCUUCUGCAAAAUGUGUGCUUGAUUGCAUGUGCCUCCCUGGCUUCAGCAAAAUCACAUCUACACUGACCUGCCCCCUACUCUCUGGAGCAUUUUUUUCUGAAAUGUUGCCUCCCGCGCUAGAGUCCUCAUUUUGCCCCAAAUAAAACGUCACUCUCAACUUAGGUUGUGCAUAUUUUGAAGUCGACACUGGAAACCUUAGGCUCUCCUUCAUUCUCCUUUCUAUUCAAUCUACAUUUUAAAAACUAACUAAACGGUCAAGACGUAUAUAGUUUUUUAAAGUUAGAUUAUUUUCAGUGAACUGAUUCCUGGGCCGUGCCUCAUGGAUCAGGAUUCUGUUUAAAUACUGAGCCCUGUGGCCUCAAAUUAAACAAAUUCCUGUCUUCUUCCAGUUUUAUGUCUUCUUUCUACUUGGACUUUCUUCUUCCUAUUUGCACUAUGCCCACCACAUCCCUUCUCUCCCUGACGCCAACAUCUUCAUGUUGUUCAAAGUCUUGUUUAAUCACCUAUAAUUCUCUCAAAGCCUAGAUUUUCAAAAACAAAUGGUAAUCAUUUUCUUCUUUCCUGACAUCCAAAACUAACGUUACCCCCAAAGUAAUUAUAGACCUGGGUCAUACAACUUGACAUUAUUUUUGAAAUUGAUUUCAGGAUUGAUGCUGUCCUCAAAGCCCAUGAUGUUAACUAUUUUAGAAUGUAGCUUAAUUCUCUUAUAUCUUUUAUAAACUCAAAAAUGUAUGAUAUACUCAGUACAAUAAACCAGUGAUGGUGUUAUUAUGUCUUCCCACCAGCCAACCCUUUUUAGGACGACAUGUCAGGUUUCUCCCCACCCAUAUCAUGCAAUAAGAGAUGUCAUUUUAAGUGUCAUAUACAUAAGAGCAAUGUUAUAUCCUUAAAAAAGGCAAAAACUGAAAGUUUAUAGAAAGAAACAAACAAACCUAUAAUGUUAUGAGAUUCUAAUAUAGUUCUUUCAGAAGCUUUUGAGAUAUAAAGAUAAAAAUAAGAACAAUAGCAUUUGGAUAAUAUCAUUUAAAAUGUGGGACUUUGGGAGUUCCCGUCAUGGCGCAGUGGUUCCGACUAGGAACCAUGAGUUGUGGGUUUGAUCCCAGACCUUGCUCAGUGGGUUAAGGAUCCGGCGUUGCUGUGAGCUGUGGUGUAGUUUGCAGACACGGCUCAGACCCGUGUUGCUGUGGCUGUGGCGUAGGCUGGUGACUACAGCUCCAAUUAGACCCCUAGGCUGGGAACCUCCACAUGCUGUGGGAGGCGGCCCUAGAAAAAGGCAAAAAGACAAAAAAAAAAAGAAAAAAAACAAAAAAAUAAAAAUAAAAUGUUAAAAAUGACCAUGUAGAGAUCACACAAGGAUUUCCAACAAUUUUAAAGAACUGACUUUAUAAAGACCAUAUUAUUGGAUCGGACUGCAAUACAAUUUGAAAUCAAUGGUAAAACAUGGCUUAAACAUCCCAGGUGUUCUGGGAAAUGAAAAAGCACUUCUUUUUCACCUGCCAGUAAAUUUGAAAAUAUAGGUAAAACGGGUAAUAUUCUUGAUGAAAAAAUGAACGUUCAUAAUUGACCCAAGAAGUGGAAAACUUGACUGGAUCAUGAAAAAUCGAAACAGUGUUAAGUAUUUUCCCAAAAGUCACCUUAGUGAAGCACAUAGUCUUAAAGAUGAGUUUCAUCAAACUUUCAAGAUCCACAGAGGAUAGAGUAUCUCUCCUGAUUAUUUUUUAAUAGUAUAGUUGCCUCCAGAGUCAGCAGUUUACACUUGGGCCUAGAGUUAGAAGAGAUGAAGAUACAUUUUGAGAUUCUAUUUCCUUAAAGAGAGAGAAGCCAGUUUAUGUAAUUUUAGGAGUGAUGCAAGCCACUGAAUAGAGCCAUCAACCAACAUGCACAACUUUUCAAAUGGAAAUAUUAUAUUUCACUGGAGAUAACAUCACACUAUUGGAGUUUGGUUCUUUUCCUGCGACAGAGCCAAGAUAUUAUAAGUAAUGGAAGAAAUCAUCUGAACACCACCAGCAAAAGUAAAUGAAAAAGAGUAAUUUAAAAAAAAAAAAGUAGUAAAAUUAAUUUCAAAAUAUUGAGAAAAUAACCAGCAUUGUGUAAAAUAUUUAUGAAGUACAUUCUGAAACUUUAUUAAAAGACAUAAAAGAUACCUUAAUAAAUGCAAAGAUAUUCCAUGUUUAUGUGCGGAAAGACUCUACACUAUAAAGAUAACGCGUGGGUUAAUUUAGAGAAUCCAGUUAAUCUAAAAUUGAAUGCAUUUCCUAACAAAAUCCAAUUGCCUUUUUUGGAAAACUUGACAUACUGCUAGUAUACAUUACACUGAAGAAUGAUUAUACCAGUAAAGGUCUGAAAAUAGCUCAAAAAUAUCAAAAUCAAACAAAGGGAACUUGAAAUGUCAUAGUAAUUAAAAGAGUGUACAUUUGGCACCAGAACAAAAAACAAUAGAUUAAGGAAACUGAAUGGAGGCCUUAAUUUACUACAACUUACUCUAUGACAAAUAGUACAGAGAAAGGAGUUCAUCAUUUAGGGGGAAAAUUAAAUCCUUCCUCAUACAAUAUGUAAAAAUUAUUUCAGGUAGAUGAACUCUAUUCGUGUUAAAAGUGAAACACUGCAAGAUCAGAAGAAACUACAGGAUAAAAAAUUUAUGAUGUUAUUAGAGUAAGAGCAGACUUCUUAAACAAGUCUGAAGGAGAAAAAAAAUGAAGUACACAAGAAAAGAUUCAUAGAUUUGGCUAUGUUAAAAUUAGCAGUAUUUUACAGGAGUUCCUACUGUGGCAUAGUGAGUUAAGAAUCUGCCUGCAAUGGCUCAGGUCACUACAGAUGUGUGGGUUUGAUCCCCAGCCUGGCGCAGUAGGUCAAAGGAUCUGGCAUUGCUGCAGCUAUUGGUGUAGGUCACGGCUGCAGCUCAGAUUCAGUCCCUGGCCUGGGAACUUCCAUAUGCCAUAGGUACAGCCAUUAAAAAAAAUUAGCAGUAUUUUACAAAGACAAAUGCCAUAGACACAAUCAAAUUAAAGUAGGGGACCCCGAGAAGACAUCCAUAAAGUGCACAACUAAUAAGGAUUAGACUAUAUAAAAAUGUCCUAAACAUCGACAACAAGAACAAGAUACAGGAGGAUGGGCAGAGAAUGUGAAUGCACUCUGCACAGAAGAAAAAAAAAAAAUGACAAACACAGCAAGAGGUGUAAAAACUUCAGCAGUAAUCGGUGGAAAAAAUACUGAAAUACCACACUUCCUACAACAUAGUUUUAAACAACACUUAGUAUUACUGAGGCUUUGGGAAACAAACGUCCUUGCACACUAUUCUCUGGGAGAUAAACUGAUAAGAUGCUCUUCAAAGCAUGGGGGCAGCAGUUGACAAAACUGAAAAUACUUGUAUUUAUACAACUAUGUUCUUCUCAUCCUUAUUUCUAGUAGCUGGAAGCUGUAGACCAACUGUGUCCCUGCAAGUGGGGUGGAAAAUGGAAUUGGCCAUAAUCAUAAAUCAAAAUACCAUAGAGCAGUAAAAACAAUAAAAUAAACCUACAUUUAUUAAUAGAGACAGAUCUCAGACAUACAAUCUUGAGCUAAGUAAGCAAGAUUUAGAAUAAGACCUACACUACGGUAUAAUUUAUGUAUAUUUUUAAAGCAUCACAACAUAUUAUAUACAUAUUAGAAGGAUUAUAGACCAUGAAUUGGGUGCAUGAGGUGGGGAGGAGAAGAGUGGAACUGGCAAGAAGAGGAAAAAUGGCAAAAGUAGAAUGAGAAGAAAAAGACUUAGACUAAUAAUGAUACUGUUCAUCUCAUUGAGAAACAUGGUGCAUUGAGUCAAGGCAAUUGUGUGAUAUCCUG